CAGGGCUGCCGUCCACAUGGGCUCGGAAAGAAGGUGGUGAGCCAGGAAUGCUGUGGAGCAAAUCGCUGCAUAUCAGCAGAACCUGGGCUUCAGGAUGCCUCUGUCCCUCUGUGAGAAGCAGAUGAGCAAAGCAAGGCUUAAAGAGCUAAGGAGACUGUGGGAAUGAAGGUUUCGAAGUGGUCUGAAUGGAGAAAGAAGCGGUGGGAGAGCUGAGUCAUCAUGCAGCACACGGCAAGGUAGCAGAAAACCCUGGAGAACAACAGCAGCCUGCCCCAGAGUCAGCCGUGAGCGCUGAUUUAGUUUCAGGAAAACAAUAACACUUUGUCCCAUUAAAUUAAUGUUGUUAAUUUGAAGUUUAUUGGUUUUGCAGUUUGCUUUUAUUUCAUUUAUAAAUUUGUUUUAGCUUUAUGGCUGUGAGAGAGCUCCCUGCAUAAGGAACGUGUACCUGGUUUUAUGUUUGUACAUAUUUAAGUAACAUUAUACUAAAUAUAACUCAAGUCAACAGAGAGCAAUCACA
rnacentral:lncRNA from 1 species